rnacentral:rRNA from 1 species
UACGAAGGGGGCUAGCGUUGCUCGGAAUCACUGGGCGUAAAGCGCACGUAGGCGGAUUGUUAAGUCAGGGGUGAAAUCCUGGAGCUCAACUCCAGAACUGCCUUUGAUACUGGCGAUCUCGAGUCCGGGAGAGGUGAGUGGAACUGCGGGUGUAGAGGUGAAAUUCGUAGAUAUUCGCAAGAACACCAGUGGCGAAGGCGGCUCACUGGCCCGGUACUGACGCUGAGGUGCGAAAGCGUGGGGAGCAAACAGGG